AUGCUCUGCUCGGCCUCGCCGCUGCCGUCUCCUCCCGCCGGCGGGACGGCCGCUUCCGACCACCACGCACGUCUGAGGGCCGCCGCUGCGCGCUCCGACCUUCCGGGCGCGCUCGCCGCGUUCGUCGCCAUGUCCUCCUACGCACCCGCCUCCGCGGCCGGCCCAGUCCUCCGCACGUUCACCUCCCUCCUCAAGCUCUGCGCGGCGCGCUCUGACCUCGCUACGGGCCGCACCGUGCACGCCCAGCUCGCCACGCGCGGGCUCGUGGCGGAGGCCCUCGCGGCGACGGCGCUCGCCAACAUGUACGCCAAGUGCCGCCGGCCUGGCGACGCGCGCAGAGUGUUCGACCGGAUGCCCGUGCGGGACCGCGUCGCCUGGAACGCGCUCGUCGCCGGGUACGCGCGGAACGGGCUCGCCGGGGCUGCGAUGGAGAUGGUCGUCAGGAUGCAGGAGGAGGAUGCGGAGAGGCCUGACUCCGUCACGCUCGUGUCCGUGCUGCCUGCCUGCGCCGACGCCCAGGCACUCGGGGCCUGCCGCGAGGUGCACGCGUUUGCGGUCCGUGGUGGAUUCGAUGAGCUCGUCAAUGUCUCCACUGCGAUCCUUGACGUGUACUGCAAGUGCGGGGCGGUCGAGGCGGCGCGGGCUGUCUUUGAUCAGAUGCCAAUCAAAAACUCCGUGUCUUGGAAUGCGAUGAUUAAGGGGUAUGCUGAAAAUGGGAAUUCCACAGAGGCUCUGGCUCUGUUCAAAAGGAUGGUGGGAGAGGGCGUAGAAGUGACUGAUGUGUCUAUAUUGGCAGCAUUGCAUGCUUGUGGCGAGCUCGGGUUUCUCGAUGAGGGGAGGCGCGUCCAUGAGCUACUUGUGAGGAUUGGGCUUGACUCCAAUGUGUCGGUGAUGAAUGCGCUGAUCACCAUGUACUGCAAAUGCAAGAGGACCGACCUUGCUGCCCAGGUGUUCGAUGAGUUGCGCUACAAGACACGCAUCUCAUGGAAUUCCAUGAUACUCGGGUGCACGCAGAAUGGAAGGUCAGAUGAUGCGGUGAGGCUCUUCUCUAGGAUGCAGCUGGAAAAUGUGAAACCUGAUUCGUUCACUCUCGUCAGUGUCAUUCCUGCUCUUGCAGACAUUUCAGAUCCACUGCAGGCAAGAUGGAUCCAUGGAUACUCUAUCAGGCUGCACCUGGAUCAGGAUGUGUAUGUUCUCACUGCCCUUAUUGACAUGUACGCCAAAUGUGGCCGUGUUGGCAUUGCUAGAAAUCUCUUCAAUUCAGCAAGGGAGAGGCAUGUUAUCACAUGGAAUGCAAUGAUCCAUGGGUACGGCUCACAUGGUUUUGGCAAGGUCGCAGUUGAGCUGUUUGAACAGAUGAAGAGCACUGGCAGAGUACCCAAUGAGACAACCUUCCUGUCGGUCCUCUCAGCGUGCAGCCAUGCUGGUUUGGUUGAUGAAGGAAGGAAAUAUUUUUCGAGCAUGAAGGAGGACUAUGGGCUGGAGCCUGGGAUGGAGCACUAUGGUACCAUUGUGGAUCUGCUUGGCAGAGCUGGGAAGCUAGAUGAAGCAUGGUCUUUCAUCCAAAAGAUGCCUAUUGAUCCUGGCAUUAGUGUAUAUGGUGCAAUGUUAGGUGCUUGCAAGUUACAUAAGAACGUGGAGUUAGCAGAAGAAUCAGCCAACAGGAUCUUUGAGCUAGGGCCAGAAGAGGGGGUCUACCAUGUCCUCCUAGCGAAUAUUUAUGCAAAUGCUUCAAUGUGGAAGGAUGUUGCAAGGGUUAGAACUGCUAUGGAGAAGAAAGGACUCCAAAAGAGUCCCGGAUGGAGUAUUGUUCAGCUCAAAAAUGAGAUUCAUACGUUCUAUUCCGGAAGCACAAAUCACCAGCAGGCAAAGGAUAUAUAUGCAAGGUUGGCUAAGCUAAUAGAUGAGAUAAAAGCUGUGGGUUAUGUGCCAGACACUGAUUCUAUACAUGAUGUAGAAGAUGAUGUCAAGGCACAGUUGCUCAACACCCAUAGUGAGAAGCUCGCAAUUGCAUAUGGGCUCAUUCGCACAGCCCCUGGUACAACAAUUCAGAUAAAGAAGAACCUGCGAGUCUGUAAUGACUGUCACAAUGCAACCAAGUUAAUAUCUCUAGUGACAGGACGGGAAAUUAUCAUGAGAGAUAUUCAACGAUUUCACCAUUUUAAGGACGGUAAAUGUUCAUGUGGAGACUACUGGUAGUGAAGUUUUGAAGGCAGGCCAAAUAAGUUUUUUGAGAUGACAGAACUUCAUGCAGCUAAUGCAAGUAGGACUGUAAGAUCACAGUAUCAGAAUAUCAGGUGAACAUAACUAAUUGGCACCGAUGAACUCGACUGCCACUUUAAGUGCGUUGAUAGAUGCGAGGUUCAUCAGGCUUGUUGAUGACCACGUUGGUUCCCCUCCAGCCAGAUCAGAUACUCCCCGGAAAACAAUCACAGGUACGCCAGGAGAUGUUGCUGUCUGUUGAAAUAGUGAGUAGGUUCUCUUAGUGAUAUCUUCAAAAAAUUGAUUGAACUGAAA